GGUAAGGUGGCUGAGUAUUAAGCGAUGGAUUGUAAACCCAUAAACAGAGGUUCAAAUCCUCUCCCUACCA
rnacentral:tRNA from 1 species